CGUUGACUGUGAAAAGCAGAAAAUGCUAAACCAGCUUCUAAGACUGUACUUUGAAGAUAAAAGAAUGCAAAACUGAGGAGGCAUGGAAAAACCUUCAGGACGGUUUGGGUGACUGGAUUGCAGACUGUGGUGUGCCAGGGGUAUAUGAAGCCAAAGUCCAUGACAUUCCUCAGAUACUUUCCCAAGUUGUGAAGCAUUUCAUCUUUCACAGAACUGCAAACAUGGUUGAGCAGUUUAAACAAGGAAUCAACUCUUGUGGCAAACUUUGGGAAACUGUGGAGAGGUACUGGAACACAUUUCAGUGCCUGUUUACACACACAGAGGGACCACUGACAAGAGCUGCCUUUCGGUGUCUUUUUGAUGUCAUUUGGAGUGACGAAGGGACGAACAACAAGGAAGUUGAAGAGGACACUAUGUUUGUAUGGGAAUGUCUUCUCAACAGUGUGCAAGAAAAACAAACUCCUUUCACCUUUGAGGACCUACUGGUGUUACGGGAGCAGAUGCAGUACCACCUCUUGGAUUUCCACAGCGACUUCAAAUACAGUUUUAUGAUCAGGGCAAUCGUUUUCCUUAUGCCUCAACUUGCUCUGUGACACUCUUCUUUCCUCGUGGCAUCCAGAAUUAAAAUGAGUUACUUGAUCUGA